CUUCAAACAACAAUAUUUUUCCUCCAGAAAUGAACCUUGCUAUACAACUGGGUGUUUUGAUACAUUGUGUGUCUUUUUCUGUUUCUGCAACUCAAGUGCAUUUAUCUGGAAAUGGUUUUGGAACAAUACUAGUCCAGAAAAAUGGUCAGUCUGGAACAAUAUCUUCUGACAAUUUUACUUUGCAAGAUGCAAAAGUUGUAUGCAGAAUGGCGGGCUAUAGUACUAGCAAUAUAGCCCUUCCAGUAAACAAAUACGUUUUUGGUCCCAGAAAGAGUCAAAUAUACAUCGAUAAAUUGCAGUGUACAGGUCACGAAAAAUCGAUUGAUGAUUGUAAAUACAGCACCGUUCGAGGUUUUGCAAAUCACAACGGAGCAGGAGUUAUUUGUGAUGAUAGAGGUAUACAGAUUCGACUGUCUUACUAUUAUCAUGGUCGUUUAGAAAUUUUGAUAAAUAGACGAUGGAGAACAGUUUGUGCUGAUAAGUUUGAUGUAAAUGCUGCCAUGGUAGUUUGUAGACAGCUUGGAUUU